GCUCGAGUGGCGAACGGGUGAGUAACACGUGAGUAACCUGCCCUUGACUUUGGGAUAACUUCAGGAACUGGGGCUAAUACCGGAUAGGAGCUCCUGCUGCAUGGUGGGGGUUGGAAAGUUUCGGCGGUUGGGGAUGGACUCGCGGCUUAUCAGCUUGUUGGUGGGGUAGUGGCUUACCAAGGCUUUGACGGGUAGCCGGCCUGAGAGGGUGACCGGCCACAUUGGGACUGAGAUACGGCCCAG
rnacentral:rRNA from 1 species